UUCUUCCAACUUUUAUCUGAACUCACAUUUUUUUUUCUUUGGCCAUCAUGUUCCACGCCGACGAUAACCGUCCAUCACCAUCAUCUUCUUCUUUUGAGGAAGAUUUUAGGAAAAUAAGACUCUACUUAUUCCUUAUAGCAUAUUUCUUUAUCCUUCUCAUGACAUUAAUGAUAUAGUAUCUCCUAAUACACAAGUAGGAGACAAAAAAAUAUCUCCCCGAAAGAAUGACGAAAAAUGCACAAGAAUAUCAUUUUUUUUUCUUUAAGUGCAUUUUAGAAAGUUCUUUUUUUAUCACUCUUUUUUUUCAUUUUUGGCAUUUUUUUCAUAUUUCUUUGGCUUCAUAAAUGUUGUACGCUAUUUUAGUUUUUUUUUUUGAUGUUUGUAUUGUUUAUAUAUAAUUAUAAUAUCUAAAGCAGGGCAAGAUAAUAUAUAUGUACUAGUAGGAAAAAAAGUCAAAAACUGCUAUGCAAGGGCUGCGAUUAUAUAACACUGCAAGCCUUUUUGGAAAAGCUUGCGGUUAACCCACAAACCGCAGCCCUUUGUGAUAAAGGGUUGGGAUUAUCUAAAAACCGCAACCUUUUUGAUAAAGGGCUGCGGUUUUUAAGCUUACCGCAGUCCUUGUUUUUUUUAAUCUAUGCGCGUAUUAAGCGCAUUCAAAAGUGUCCUCGAUGUCUUCCUCUCCUUCUCACAAAAAUCCGCUCAACUCAGCCCCCAAGCUUCGAACUGGCAUCGAUGUUCAUCUUCGUGUUCUUCACUAAUCUUCAUAAUCGCUCCAAUUCUUAGUGUUCAUCAAGUUAAAUCAAGAGGAAGAAGGGGGUCUGGUUGUUCGACAUUCAAACUAGGUGAAAUGUUCGAUUUUUUGGUAAUUACUUCCGAGUUUCUUCUAUUUAGAUCUUAUUUCUUCUUUUCGUUUUCAGAUCCAACUUUGUGUUGCACCUCUUUGCUCCUCUCCCCGUCUCUUCUUCAACCUCUCGCCAAUAAUCUUCAGAGAAAACCCUAAUUUUCAAAAAUGCUCCCUGAUAUGCUGUAGGAGUCGAUGCAUUAUGAUCAACUAUGAGAUCUGAUUGCUCAACAACAACCUGGAUGGGAAGAUUUGCAACAAGAGGCUGGAGGCAGCGAAAAUGGUGCAACCAUCUUCAAGAAGGGAAGGGUUCUCUAUCAUUCUGAAUGUGAAGUGGGAGGAUGUUUUGAGGGAAUAGCAGAUUGAGAAAGGAGUUUGAACUUUAUAUUGAAGAUAUACUGAAUUUAGUUUUUGGACCAUUGUCACUAAUCUCUAACCUUUACAAACUUUUUUUUUUUUUUUGACAACGGGUAAAGAUUGCAUUAAUUAAAAAACGGAUGUACAGCCUACCGCUAAUACAACCAAACUAACCUGAGCAAUACUUGCUCUUACAGAACAAUUACAAAAGCAAAUAUAACUUAAAUUUAAACUAGGAUAGAGCUGCUCAAUCUGGAGGUGGAGAUUGAUAGAUGACUGUGGUAGAACUCUUCUAUUGGUGGAUGGCGAUUGCCAGAACCCUGACGAAGGGAAAGGAAGGAGAGGGUUGAUUUCACAGGCGGAGUAACGAAGUAACAGCGAGAUCAUGAUCUCGCAACCGGAACAAUCCCCAUGACCUUUUGUCGCAUGGGAUGCUACAACCGGGCUUCCAAGAAGAGUCACAUUCCUUUGUAACUCUGUACCCAAAUGGAAGAGUAUAUCAGGCUUCUCCUUUGAUGAGAAGCUCCGAUGA